CAGUAAUGAUAGCUAAGGGGAUCCACCUGUUCCCAUACCGAACACAGUAGUUAAGCCCUUAAACGCCGAUGGUACUUGGCUGGAAACGGCCCGGGAGAUUAGGUAGUUGCUGGUUC
rnacentral:rRNA from 1 species